rnacentral:rRNA from 1 species
UACAGAGGGGCAAGCGUUGUUCGGAAUUACUGGGCGUAAAGGGCGCGUAGGCGGCCUUCUAAGUCGAACGUGAAAUCCCCGGGCUCAACCCGGGAACUGCGUCCGAUACUGGAAGGCUUGAAUCCGGGAGAGGGAUGCGGAAUUCCAGGUGUAGCGGUGAAAUGCGGUAGGAGUAUCUGGAGGAACACCGGUGGCGAAGGCGGCAUCCUGGACCGGCAUUGACGCUGAGGCGCGAAAGCCAGGGGAGCAACG